rnacentral:rRNA from 1 species
AACGAACGCUGGCGGCAUGCCUAACACAUGCAAGUCGAACGAAGCCUUCGGGCUUAGUGGCGCACGGGUGCGUAACACUGGGAAUCUGCCCUUCGGUUCGGAAUAACAGUUAGAAAUGACUGCUAAUACCGGAUGAUGACGUAAGUCCAAAGAUUUAUCGCCGAAGGAUGAGCCCGCGUAGGAUUAGGUAGUUGGUAGGGUAAUGGCCUACCAAGCCGACGAUCCUUAGCUGGUCUGAGAGGAUGAUCAGCCACACUGGGACUGAGACACGGCCCAGACUCCUACGGGAGGCAGCAGUGGGGAAUAUUGGACAAUGGGCGAAAGCCUGAUCCAGCAAUGCCGCGUGAGUGAUGAAGGCCUUAGGGUUGUAAAGCUCUUUUACCAGGGAUGAUAAUGACAGUACCUGGAGAAUAAGCUCCGGCUAACUCCGUG